rnacentral:tRNA from 1 species
GGUUUAUUAACUUAAUAAAGUUUAUAUCUUGAAAAUAUAAUAUAGAAUUAUAAAAUUUUCUAUAAAUCU